rnacentral:rRNA from 1 species
GAUGAACGCUGGCGGCGUGCCUAAUACAUGCAAGUCGAGCGAACAAACGAGGAGCUUGCUCCUUUGACGUUAGCGGCGGACGGGUGAGUAACACGUGGGUAACCUACCUAUAAGACUGGGAUAACUUCGGGAAACCGGAGCUAAUACCGGAUAAUAUUUCGAACCGCAUGGUUCGAUAGUGAAAGAUGGCUUUGCUAUCACUUAUAGAUGGACCUGCGCCGUAUUAGCUAGUUGGUAAGGUAACGGCUUACCAAGGCAACGAUACGUAGCCGACCUGAGAGGGUGAUCGGCCACACUGGAACUGAGACACGGUCCAGACUCCUACGGGAGGCAGCAGUAGGGAAUCUUCCGCAAUGGGCGAAAGCCUGACGGAGCAACGCCGCGUGAGUGAUGAAGGUCUUCGGAUCGUAAAACUCUGUUAUUAGGGAAGAACAAACGUGUAAGUAACUGUGCACGUCUUGACGGUACCUAAUCAGAAAGCCACGGCUAACUACGUG